UUUUCUCCUUUAAUGAAGUAGUUGCAGUGUCUGUUUGGGAGUGCAAGGGCCUUGUUCAAAGCAUAUGGAAAUUCCCAAGGUAGGAGUUGAAUCAGCUGUAGCUACUGGCCUACACCACAUUCACAGCAAUGUGGGAUCUGAGCCUCAUCUGUGACCUACACCACAGCUCAUGACAACGCUGGAUCCUUAAGCCACUGAGCGGAGCCAGGGAUUGAACCUGAGUCCUAAUGGAUACUAGUCUGGUUAAUUACUGCUAAGGCAUGAUGGCAACUCCGGUUGUCUAUUUUAGAUAUGGUAGUGUGUACAUGUUAAUCCCAAACUCCCAAUUUAUCUCUCCCCCCACACCCAGAGGGAGUCUCUCUCUCUUUUUUUUUUUUUUUGGCUUUUUAAGACCACACCUGCAGCAUAUGGAGCUUCCCAGGCCAGGGGUCUAUGCCACAGUCACAGCACAUCAGAUCCGAGCCUUGUCAGUGACCUAUACCACAGCUCACAGGAAUACCAGAUCCUUAACCCACUGAGCAAGGCCAGGGAUUGAACAUGCAACCUCAUGGUUCCUAGUCGGAUUUGUUUCUGCUGUGCCACAAGGGGAACUCUGAGGAGUCUUUUAAGAUGUAAAUCAGAUUAUCUCUAUCCCAUUUUUAAAAAUUUUUUAGUCCUUUCUCUAAGGACUAAAUGUUCAGUGAGCAUUUACUGAGCACCUACUAUGGGCCAGGCAGUCCUUUGGGGCUGAGGAUGCAGGGUUAAAUGAGAUGAAGUCCCAGCCAUCACAGAGUUGACAGUCUAAUAGGGGCAGGCAGACAAGUAGCAAAUAAACCACUGCACAUAUAAGAUAAUUUCAGAGUACAAUGAGGGGAAUAACCUGGGCUAUGUGACGGUGGGUCUUCUCAGGGUGGCAGGGAAGGCAUCCUGGAGGAGGAAGAAUUUGCAAUGAGUCAGAAGGAGUGGGAGGAGGUGCUGGGAACAGCAUUUCGGGUGGACAAAAGAAGCAAGUGACAGAGAGCCCAAUGGCUCUGAACAGCCAGGAGGCCAUUAGUGGCAGGAGAGUGGAGUCCAAGGGGCCAGAGGUGAGAUUAGGCAAAAAAAAACAAGGCAGGGAGUUCCCACUGUGGCUCAGUCGGUUAAGAACCUGACUAGUAGUCAUGAAAAUGUGAGUUCGUUCUGUGGCCUUCCUCAGUGGGUUAAGGAUCCACUGUUACCAUGAGCUGUGGUGUAGGCUGUGAAUGCAGCUUGGAUGAAGCAUUGCUGUGGCUGUGGUGUAGGCCUUCAGCUUCAGCUCCCAUUCACCUCCUAGCCCGGGAACUUCCAUAUGCUGCAGGCAAGAAAAGGCAGGGCAGGCUGGAAGGCAGACUAGGGAGGACCCUACUGUCCUUUGUCUACACACGUGCAGGCUAGUGGCUUGAAGCCCAGCACAUUCAGGCCCAAACCCCCUCCGCACCCCAUCUGCAUUCAUCACCCUGCCUCUUUUUUUUUUCUUCCUUGGCUAUACCAGUGCCAGGCAGAAGUUCCCAGCCCAGGGAUGGAACCAGAGCUACAGUGGUGACGGAUGGAACCAGAGCUACAGUGGUGACAAUGCCAGAUCCUUAACUCUCUGCACCCCCAGGAAAUCUGUCCCCUACCUCCCUUGCCUCACAGUGCAGCCAGGGGGGCUGUGCACUGGUUUCCCAGACAGGAGCUGUACUUCCCAUCAAGGCCACCAGGCUUUUGCUCUCACAGGUCCUCCUCCAGCCGUGCCAUUCCCCUCCCCCACCUUUGUAGCAUUUUCAUCCUUUGAAAACUGACUCAGGAUUUCCCUGGUGGCUCAGCAGUGACAACACUGGAUUCUUAACCUACUGUGCCACAAGGGAACUCCUGUUUAUGACUGUUUUCAUAGCUUUUUUUUUUUUAAGGUAAAUUUUAUAUACAAUGCAAUGCACAAAUCUUAAGUGUACAGGCACUGAGGCAAAGGCAUACACUGGGGUAACCCACCUAUAUUGAGGUUCAGAACAUCACCAUCACUCAGAAAAGUUCCCUCACAUCCCUUCCCAGUCAAUUCCUCACUAGCCCUCCCAGAGGCAACCACUAUUCAUUUAUUGUGGGGCUUUUCUUCACUGUGGCUCAGUUUUCUAGCAAUUUGAAAGCAUUGGCAUUGUUCCAUUUUCAUGGGGUUUAGUUUUACGAAUGGGUGACACUAAUUUUCCACAUGCUGUAGAGAUAUGGUUUACAUUUUUUUUUGGCCAUACCUGGGAAGUACCCCGGGCCAGGGUUCAAACCUGCACCACAGCAGCGACCCCAGCCACAGCAGUGACAGUGGGGAUCCUUAACCUACUGCAGGUGCGGCAAAAAAAAAAAAAAAGAAAAAA
ensembl:lncRNA